rnacentral:rRNA from 1 species
UGCGUAGGCGGUCCUAUAAGUCAGUGGUGAAAGACGGCAGCUUAACUGUCGCAGUGCCUUUGAUACUGUAGGACUUGAAUCUAUUUGAAGUGGGCGGAAUAAGACAAGUAGCGGUGAAAUGCAUAGAUAUGUCUUAGAACUCCGAUUGCGAAGGCAGCUCACUAAGUUAGUAUUGACGCUGAUGCACGAAAGCGUGGGGAUCAAACAGGAUUAGAUACCCUGGUAGUCCACGCCCUAAACGAUGAUAACUCGAUGUUUGCGAUACACAGUAAGCGUCCAAGCGAAAGCGUUAAGUUAUCCACCUGGGGAGUACGGUCGCAAGAUUGAA